rnacentral:lncRNA from 1 species
CCUCCUCCAUUCUUCGUCGCUCGCCGCCGCGGCACUGCUCGCCCGAGCGCACGCGCCCCCUCUCAGCUCGCCAGCGCCACGCCCGCCUAGGCUGCUCGUCAGCGCGCUCCACCCAGCGACCCCUCCCUCCAUUCCUCCCCCCGCAACGACCUCUGCGUGCCUCUAUGUCACCACAGUGUGGGUGACAACGGCAGCUUCCGGAAAGGAGAGCACGCCUCCCUCCCUACCUUCUCUCUCUUCCUCGCUCUCUCACCUCCAUACAUCCAGAGACGAUGAUGACGGCAUGGCUUCGACGAGGUAGGUGGGGACGAAUUUGGAUCCGAGGCCUCUCUCCCUCCCCUCCUCUGGAUCUGCUCCUCCACCACCACCUCCUCCUCCUCUACUCCUCCCUCUAGAUCUAUUAGAUGUGGUGGUGACUAGGGUUCCGACAAGCUCUCUGCGGUUCAACUCCUUACCAUGUUGCUAUGGCUUUCUUGGUGUGUUUCAUUAGGUAUGGGUUGAUGUUGCAAUGGUUUUCUUCGUUUUUUGCAUUGAGUCUUUGUUGACGUUGCAAUGGUUUUCUUCGUUUGUUGCAUUAGGUCUCGAUUGAUGUUGCAGUAGGCUAGAGUUUUGACAAGCUCUCUGGUUUGAUGUUGCAAUGGUUUUCAUCGUUUGUCGCAUUAGAUCUAGGGUGAUGUUGCAAUGGGUUUUUUCGUUUGUUGCACUAGGUCUCGGUUGAUGUCACACAGUAGGCUAGGAUUCCGGUGAGCUCACUUGCUUGGUGUUGCAACGGUUUUCUUCGUUUGUUGCAUUAGAUCUGGGUUGAAUAUUGCAAUGGUUUUUCUUCGGUUGUUGCAUUAGGUCUCGGUUGAUGUUGCAUCCUACUGUUGCAGCAGCAAAGGGAGGGUGGCAAGUUGGGGUCGGGCUUUGGGGGCAAGCUGGCGGCGGGCGAAGGUGCUAGGGGGCUGACGAGGUCGAGAGAGGGGGCGGAUCCCUAGGGCGGGUUCGAUCCACUUCUCGGGUGCGCGUGGGGGCAGUGCAGGUCUGUGCUUUUCUUGUUAUCUCCCGUGCGCGUGGGGGCAGUGCGGGUUUAUGCUUUUCUUCUUCUCUCUCGUGCGCGUGGGGGCAGUGCAGGUCUGUGCUUUUCUUCUUUUGUUCGGGUAAACGGGGCGAUACGAGGUCGUGCAGAUGGGGGCGAUGCGGGAUAUGCUUUUUCUUCUGUAUAGGUGUGGGGGGCUAGUGUGGAGCCGUGCUGACGAAGGGCGUCCGAUGGGAUUCAAUCCCAUCAGACGUCCGGGCGCGAGCAUGACCGUACUUUUUAUAUAAAAGGAAAAAGGUACUCCCUCCAUUUCAAAUUAUGUCAUUCCAAGAAUCUUGGAGAAUCAAAGUAUUUUCAAAUUUGACCAAAAUUAUAGAGAAAAAUACUAAGAUUUAUAACAUAAAGUGAGUAUACUAUGAAAAUAUUAUUAAGGAAGAAUCUAAUGAUACUUAGUUGUUAUCAUAAUAUUUAUUAUUUUAUUAUAUAAAUUUGGUUAAACUUGAGAUACUUUGACUCUCCAAGAUUCUUAGAAUAUCUUAUAAUUUGAGAUGGAGGGAGUAAGAAAUAGUUCUAAUAGGUUAAAGAUUCCUUCCCAAUACAACUGUGUUCAUCUUCCUGUCCCUUUAUCCGUGGCUGGUUAGGAUAUUGGACGAUGGAAAGCUCUGUUUACUAGAGAAGGAUUCAAAGGGUGCAAUGGACUUAUCAGAAAGGAAAAAAGAAAUCAGAUUAGGCCACGGAAAAAAGAGAAAACGGGAUAGAAUCUGAACAGGAAAAGAUAAAAAUAAACACUAGAGAUAAUCUAUUGUUAUCCAUCACUUUUAUUUAUUCAUCUGUUAUACCAGUGGAGACAGUACAAUUUGUACAGUUAAAGCUAAAGCAUACCAAGUAAACAAAAAAGUAAAAGAUGAGAAGGAAGGAUAAAUUGAAUAAGACUCCAAAUCGAAUCGAGCACAAGAUUUCUCUCCGAAUUUGAGUAUGUUUCCUAUAAAAGAGCCCUCCUUGCUUGCAACCCAUAUACAAUAAUAAAUAAAUAAAUAAAUAAAUAAAUAAAUAAAUAAAUAAAUAAAUAAAUAAAUAAAUAAAUAAAUAAAUAAAUAAAUAAAUAAAUAAAUAAAUAAAUAAAUAAAUAAAUAAAUAAAUAAAUAAAUAAAUAAGCAAUGCACAUAUAUAAAGCUGGAAAAGUUAGAGCGCUAAGCGGUUGAAACUCCAAUCUAUGGGCUAGACGCCUAGACCUUCAUAGUAGGCCUGGGCGCAGUGUGACGUGCGAGAAGUCGAACAAAGGUCACUGUUGCGCAAAUGUCAGGACACGCUCCAUCUUGUGUUGAUCUCCCUAGAUAACAGUUAACGAGCCAUGUCGUUCGGAGAAAGAAAAAUUAUCUCACAAAGUCAUCAAGACAGUGACAAAGGGGAAAAAUAAAAAUUUAUCUUGCUUCCCUAGCCUGAGGGCAUUUAAGUUAUUUUACAACUUCGUUAGCCACCGUUAGUAGUGAAUAUCGACGGAAUGGCAUGGAGGGCAAGAAAGAAAAAUGUUAUGGCAUAUAGGUCUGUUCUAACUUUUUAAUGACACAGAAGAAGUGACCAUAUUUCUUAAUGGCACAAAGAGAAAAGUCUCACACAUCAUGCCAACCCACUGUUGUACCAGCAUAGCCAAACAGAGCCUUUUUGUUGUGUACAGCAUCGUGUCCCUCCCUUAGGCUAUCUCCAACAGAGCCGACCCAAACCGGCACCUAUUCACUCUUUUGGGUCACGAACAGUGAAUGAGUAACGCACCCAAAACUAUUGUACUCCAACAGCGAACCCAAAUCCCCACCGAGCGUCGUCCCUCCUCUCUCCUUGCCGAGCGCCGGUGGCCAAGCUCUCCACCUCGGGCGUGGCCCUGGCCGUGCUGCUGCACCGCCGCAGCCGCGACUACGACGGCCUCCUCUUCAGCUGCGCCGUACAACUGCCCGCGCCGCUGGUUUCCCUCUCUACGACGACGUCGUCGUGGCGGCAGCCCCGCUCGCCCCCGCGCUCUCCAUCUCCGUCUCCGGCCCCUCAUCUCCCUCUCUACCCCGACGCUCCUCUCCACCGAGCAUGGCGCGUCUCCCUCCCAGAUCUAGCAGUUGUAGGCGAGAAGCAGCCCGGAUUCAGCGCCCACAUGUGAGGAGCUCAAAUCCGCCACCACGUCGAGCGCCACCCGCCUCUGUCCCCGUGGAACGCUGCCGCUUGCCUCCCACCCUGCCUUGCGGUUGUAACACCCAAAAUUUUGAUUUCAAUUAAUAGGAAUUAAUUUGAUUUAUUUGAGUAUUUUUGUGGGCAUUUGAAUUUAGCAAACAAAUAAUUUUGUGAAGAUUAAAAUUUAUCAUAAAUUUAGAAACAUGAAUUUGCAUUCAUGCUGGAGCAUAUUUAAUUGGUGCUUGAUUGUUUCUGGUUAGAAUUUAAUUGCACACAAAAUUCUAUUUGGAAAAGUGUUUUGGAAAAAAAAGAAUAAAAGAAAAAAAAAUAGAGGAGAAGGCCUCCUGGCCGAGAGGCCCAGCCAGCCCCCUUUCCCCCGCGCCUCCUCCUCCCCCGGCCCGCUAACGCGGCCCAGCUUCCCCCCCCCCAGCCCAGCAACAGGCCGGCCCGCGCGCGCACUCGCUCCCCUCCCUCUCUCUGCUGCUGACAGACGGGCCCCGCCCCUUCUCUCGCUGCCACGCGGGACCCGCCGAGGCGGCGUCUUCUCCUUCCUCUUCCCUGUUCGUAACCGAGCAGGAAACCUCCUACCGAAUCGAAUCCGUGGAGCCGGGAUUUUCUUGCCCUUUUCGCGAACUGAGACCCUAUAAAGCACCCCACGAUGCCCCUCGUUGUGUCUUUGCAUCUAUUUAGCGAAACCAAGCCUUAAACCGAGGAUCUCGUCGGGAAGAACUCCGCCGCCGCGCGUGGACACGCCUCCACGCUAGCUCUCGGCCCGAGCAACGACCCUAGUCGACUUCGCGGUGAGCUGCUCGUCUUCCCGAUGUUUUCCUUUCUUGAAACGGUGCUCGGAAACGAGAAGUCAGCGGACGCCGGCGAGGUCAGGUGCUCCGGCCAUGGCGCCACCGUGCCGAAGCUGUCUCCCUGGCGGCUGGCCGCCGCCGCCUGGCGCCCCAGACGCGCCUGAGCCGUCCAUUCUCAGAUCAAGGGCUCAAAUUAGAGGAUACCCCUUGGGGGGUAUUUUUGUUAAAGAGUCCUCGAAGAUUUCUCUAUUUACCCCGCGGUCCCUGGCGCCCUAGAAAAGAUUACGUUUUCUGUGUUUGAAAGCGUAUUCCUGUCUGGUUCAACUCAGUUUACGUUUUCAGAUAUUUACAGUUUUACCACUGAUUUUAUAAUGCUCAUAAAAUAUUCGUUUUAACUCCGUUUUUGUCCAUUCAAAUUUUGUUAGAUUCGUAUUUCCGAGCUCUACAUGUUAGAAUUAUUUAUUCUCUGUUUUGAAACUUUUUAAUUUUCUGGUAUUAUUUAAUUAAUUAUUUCUCUAUAGGAAAUCUUGGAAAAUGCAUAACUUCUCUGUUUUAAUUCCGAUUUUCGUGAACUUUACGUUUGUGUGAUCGUAGCGCGGCGUAGAAUAUUUUCAUAAACUUUUAUCUUUGUUUUACCAUUGUUUGGUGUAAUGUUCUAAUCAUAUCUUAUUUGCUUUGCGUAUGAUUGUCCCCAUUAGAUUGCGUGUUGUUGAUUGAUGUUUGGGAAUAGACAGUGAGCCGUACGUUGGUGAUCAAGACCAAGCUUUUGAAGACCAGCAGGCUCAGGAGAGCUUUGAGCAAGGCAAGUAUAACUUGGGACCAUCAUUGUUACGUAUUCACUUAUAACUACAUAUAUAUCAUAUGCAUGCUAUCACCUUGUCGACCUUAGCAAAAUCAUAGAUGAUUGUUACCUGGAUUUCUUGCUAUCUACUUGUUAUGCAUUUGUUCUAGAUGUGCUAGUGUUUGAUAUAAUCCGUGAUCUUGUAAGAUGAUUAAUAGUUAUGCAAUGAACGUUAAAAGAUGACAAAUGACUAUAUAAGAUCUUGUCUGUAAGUGAUCACCGGGACAACAGUGCAACCAUGAGGGCUAUAAUGGCUCUGGCUUUAGCUCAGUAUGGAGACCUUUUCUAGCUUGUUAGAGGUUACCCGAAAGGGCGGAGGGGCUGAACCGACACGGGUAUAGUGCGAGCCCCUGUCCCUAUGUGUAUAGGCUGCGCGUCAUUGUGCCAUUCGGAAGGGGGGUAUCUAUAUCUGCUCGCAAAGGAAAUCUUGCGGCCCUAACAUGUUAGGCGAACUUUUAAAAGGCUUCAUAGUGAUCCCUGCCGACCUCCCUAGGAAGGGGGUUAAGAGAUUAGCUACCCCGGGUGAAAGGGUAAAUCAUGACUCAUGGGUAAAGAUGCACAACCUCUGCAGAGUGUAAAACUGGUAUACUAGCCGUGCUCACGGUUAUGAGCGGCCUUGGGGGUUCUUGCUGCGCCGGCGAUGAGCUUAUUAAGUUGUUAUGUUCAUUUGAUUAUUGUUUAUGCUAAGAAUUAAUUAUGCUUACACUUGAUCAUGGGAUGUGCUCACUCUUGCAAUUUCCCAACACCUCAGGAUAUGAUAAUGAAGAUGACUGGAAUGAGGAUUACCGUUAUGAGUACUAGGUUUGGAGUCAACCAGUCAAUGUUGUCUCUGUGUGGAGCUUCCGUCGAGAGCGUUGUUUACUUUAUGCUAUCAUCUUUGUAUGAGACUAUGUGAUAUUUUAUAUUCCGC